rnacentral:misc_RNA from 1 species
ACACCCAUCAAGCCUGGCUUGGUAUUGGGCGACGGGACCUUCCCGCGCCCCGAUUUCGCCGGCUGGACGACCCCGAUCUCUCAAGCGUUGAACAUUCUCGCUGGCCAGACGGGCGCCUGCGCCGUUAAACCUCAAUCAA